CCUACGGGAGGCAGCAGUGAGGAAUAUUGGGCAAUGGACGAGAGUCUGAACCAGCCAAGUAGCGUGAAGGAUGACUGCCCUAUGGGUUGUAAACUUCUUUUAUAAAGGAAUAAAACGAGGCACGUGUGCCUUUUUGCAUGUACUUUAUGAAUAAGGAUCGGCUAACUCCGUGCCAGCAGCCGCGGUAAUACGGAGGAUCCGAGCGUUAUCCGGAUUUAUUGGGUUUAAAGGGAGCGUAGAUGGGUUGUUAAGUCAGUUGUGAAAGUUUGCGGCUCAACCGUAAAAUUGCAAUUGAUACUGGGAGUCUUGAGUACAGUUGAGGUAGGCGGAAUUCGUGGUGUAGCGGUGAAAUGCUUAGAUAUAACGAAGAACCCCGAUUGCGAAGGCAGCUUACUAAACUGUGACUGACAUUGAUGCUCGAAAGUGUGGGUAUCAAACAGGAUUAGAUACCCUAGUAGUC
rnacentral:rRNA from 1 species